UAACAGUUCAGUGAAUCGGUCAAUAGAUAUGAGUCCUUUUGAGGUAAUUCAUGGUUUUAAGCCUAGAAAGCCGUUAGACCUUCUUUCCAUGUCUCCACAUACUAGUGUGUCUGUGUCAGCUGAGUCUUUUGCACAAUAUCUACGUGAUUUGCAUAUUGAGAUCAAUAAACAUCUGGAAGCAAGUAAUGCAUUAUAUAAAUUUCGAGCUGAUUUGUACAAAUGCCACGUUGAAUUUAAUGUUAGGGAUUAUGUUAUGAUUCGAAUUAGACCAGAACGACGUCUAUCUGGGCUUGCUUCCAAAUUACAAGCUCAUAGUGCUGGUCCUUUUAAAAUUUUAAAGCGUGUUGGUCCGAAUGCUUAUGUCAUUGACUUACCGUCACACUUUGGUUACCACCCUACCUUUAAUGUUGAAGACUUAGUUGCUUACAAAGACAAAUUUCACCCCGCUGAUGAUCAUUUCACACCUCCAACUCUGGACCCUCAGCCUGAACAUGUUAUCCUUGUCCCAAUUCCACCUGCUGCAGCACAUAAAGAUAAAAUUGAUGCUAUUCUAGAUGCACAAGCCAUAUUAACCAAGGUUGGAGACAUUCAGCGCUUCCAUGAUCGUUGGGAGGGUCGUCCCGAUUCUGAUUGCACUUGGAUCCCCAAAGAGACACUUCAACAGCUUGAUCCUGAUUUGUUGGAGCAUUAUAGAAGUCAACAAGAUCUUUCCUUACUCGGAUCACCACCUUUGCGUGUCUAUAGACGUCAAAAGAAGUUUGCUCAGCCGCUCAGUUUGUGACCAGGAGAUUGACAACAGCCUUUCGUGAUCUAUCUCCUUGACGGGGUCGAGUUUUUCUCCUACCCCGGGAGAGUUAAUGCGGAC
rnacentral:lncRNA from 1 species